CCUGGCGGCACUAGCGCGGUGGUCCCACCUGACCCCAUGCCGAACUCAGAAGUGAAACGCCGUAGCGCCGAUGGUAGUGUGAAAGAAUUGCGUUUGCGUACAGAGCAC
rnacentral:rRNA from 1 species